AGGUGCGAUUAUACCAUCACUAUUGCACCGGAUCCCAUCAGAACUCCGCAAUUAAACGUUAUUGGGCGAGAGUAGUACUAGGAUCGGUGGCGUCUUGCGAAGUUCUCUUGUUGCACCUC
rnacentral:rRNA from 2 species